rnacentral:tRNA from 1 species
GAAGGUAUAGCUCAGUGGUAGAGUGCAUGCCUAGCAUGCAUGAGGUCCUGGGUUCAAUCCCCAGUACAGCCA